CCAAAAUUUUGUUUUACUUGUGAAAGAGACAGUAAAAAUUAGGCUGCUAAUCUCCACCUUUGUUUUGGUUUUCUUCUACCACUAGGUUAGUUCUGCAGGACAUGCCGGAGUUCUCCACAUUCCUGAUCAAAAGCACGUUGCUUUUAACACAACCAUAUUGCUGCUGCAGUCGUGGUGAUGGAGGGGAGCCCUCUCUGUUGUGUGAGAAGCUGUUUUCAGAUGGGAAGAAGACUUCUGUCUUAAGCGCAGUUCCUGUUGUUAGAGGUGGAACCUUAGUAAUAUCUGAAAGAGGGACAGCAGCAAAUAGCUGAAUGCCACUGAUACCUGGAACUGACUCUGGUGUUAAUACAGAAGUUGGAUAAUUAUGCCAUUUCACUUCUCUUAGUCCUGACCACUGAGUUUAAGACACAGAGUUUAUGUCUCCAUCCACACCAAAGAAUCAAGGUUGCAGUAUUCAUUAGUGGGAUGUGUAGAGAUUAAAUUACCCCAGCAAGGUCAAGGGAAACAAUUUCCCCACUGUCCUCCAUCAAGUCAGAAAAGACCAAGAUGUCAUGCUUCUUGAAAUCUCUUCCCUUGCCUUGCCUUGCUUUGCCUCAUCUCCCCUCCUAUCCUUUUCCCUUCCCUGUGUUUUCUUUUAAAGUCCUUGUUGCAUCAGCUAUAAAACAUAAUUAGUCAGUCAUAAACGAAUGUAUAAGAUAGCUUUGCAUGUGUUCAGUGCAUUGCCCAUGUGCAACAUUCUAUUUUCAAUUUUUUUUUCUUAGAUCAUCUAAAAGCAGCAGGGUCCAAUGGACUCAGGUUACAUAUAUUUUACAGAAACAGGGCACAUAUGUGAUUAUUGGAAGAAAAAAAAUGUUUUGAAGUAAUUGCCUACAAAAAAAAGCACAGGGGCUUGAAUUUCUUGCAUAAAUAGCUCAGAUCUCUUCAGCACUCCUGUGAUUUACAGUAAUGUAGUGCUACUAGCUUUCAGUAUACAAACAAGUAUACAAGAUGGCAAUAAAUUUAAGUCCUCCUAAGUUUGUUCUUUUAAC
rnacentral:lncRNA from 1 species